rnacentral:rRNA from 1 species
AUUGAACGCUGGCGGCAUGCCUUACACAUGCAAGUCGAACGGUAACAGAUCUUCGGAUGCUGACGAGUGGCGAACGGGUGAGUAAUACAUCGGAACGUGCCUAGUAGUGGGGGAUAACUACUCGAAAGAGUGGCUAAUACCGCAUGAGAUCUACGGAUGAAAGCAGGGGAUUGCAAGACCUUGUGCUACUAGAGCGGCCGAUGGCAGAUAAGGUAGUUGGCGGGAUAAAAGCUUACCAAGCCGACGAUCUGUAGCUGGUCUGAGAGGACGAUCAGCCACACUGGGACUGAGACACGGCCCAGACUCCUGCAGGAGGCAGCAGUGGGGAAUUUUGGACAAUGGGCGCAAGCCUGAUCCAGCAAUGCCGCGUGCAGGAUGAAGGCCUUCGGGUUGUAAACUGCUUUUGUACGGGACGAAAAGCCCUGGGUUAAUACCCUGGGGUCAUGACGGUACCGUAAGAAUAAGCACCGGCUAACUACGUGCCAGCCGCCGCCGUAAUAC